GCAUGGCUGUCGUCCAGCUCGUGUCGUGAGAUGUUGGGUUUAAGUCCCGCAACGAGCGCAACCCUUGUCAUUAGUUUGCCAUCAUUUAGUUGGGCACUCUAAUGAGACUGCCGGUGACAAACCGGAGAAGGUGGGGAUGACGUCAAGUCCUCAUGGCCCUUAUGGUAGGGCUUCACACGUCAUACAAUGGUCGGUACAGAGGGUUGCCAAGCCGCGAGGUGGAGCCAAUCCCUUAAAGUCGAUCGUAGUCCGGAUCGUAGUCUGCAACUCGACUACGUGAAGUCGGAAUCGCUAGUAAUCGCAGAUCAGCAUGCUGCGGUGAAUACGUUCCCGGGUCUU
rnacentral:rRNA from 1 species